rnacentral:lncRNA from 1 species
AAACCUAAUCUUAAUUCAACAUUUUUUGGAUUUUUUUAUUUAAAACUCGAGAUAAGAUUGCAAUUUUAACCCUAAAUCAGCAAAUCUAAUCCUAACUCAAAUAUUUUUUGGAUUUUUCUUUUAUGAAAAUAAGACUGACUCAACCAACAGCGAAUCAAAUAAGAUAAGAUUGAUAUCUAAAAAUUGACGAACCAUAUCUCGCGCAUGAGAUCGGGUUGUCCAAUUUUAAAUUAAAUCGCAAAUCAAAUCUCGGGCUUGAGAUUGGAUUGUCGAUUUUUAUAAGGGAUUGCGAGUCGGAUUUCGGGCGCGAAAAUCGGACUGUCAAUCCCUAGCUUGAGGGGCACUUUCAUAUUGGGAUCUCAAUCACAUAUUUAAAGAGAACAAUUUCACUAAAAGAAUAAAAUAAAAAGGAAAGAAAAAGAAAACAGUAAGUAAGUAAAUAAAUAAAUAAAAACUACCUAAUUUUCCCUUUUCCUUCCAAGCUUCGUGUUCGUGGCAAGUCACCAAAGCAGAGGAUCGGAGGUCCGGCAGGGGAAACUUCGGCAAAGGCAGUGGCUGUGUGGUGGGUCACCGUCAAAGGAAGUCACGGUGGUCGGAGCUCCGGCGAAGGGACUCGGUGGCUGGUGGACACAGCUGCAGCAGCUGGUCACAGGUGCUACAGCGGCGUCGCUCGGACAGGGAGCAAGCUCGGAACGGCGUGCAGGGGCGGAGACCGACUCGGCGGAGGGCUGCUACAGGCGUCGUGGGUCGUCGCAAGGACUUGGGUGGCAGCAGGCCGCCGGGAUCGCGAGAUCUGGACAGUGGGCCACGAGCAGAGGACUCCGGGUCGCGGCACGGCAGAGCAACUCAAGUGUCAGUACUUGGGCAGCAAGAGCGUCGGAUUGCUAGGCCUCGGGGCAACGGCACGGCGUCGGCUGGGCGUCAGGCGGAGGCGAGCAGGGACGCCGGGACUUCUGGUGCUGCAGAUUGGCGACGGUAAGGCGAAGCAAAGGCGUUCGGGUCGCGGAAGCGGCUGGUGUCGCGGUGGCGCGGAGGUGCUUCGGUGUAGAGUUGCAGGAGCGGUGAGUGGGGCGGAGGUGCUUUGG